UCUAAAAUAUCUUUAUUUAGGGAUUAACAAGAUCCUGGACCUGCCUACUGCUAGUUCUUUGCUUGAAGAUGUUCCCCUGGGUGGAAACCCUCCUCACCCUCCCUGGUACCUUCCUCACAUACUCCUUCAUACUCAUCCUCUUCUUCCCCAUCAUAUUCUUCAUACUUCCUGAAACUAAGGGUCUCAGCUUGGAUUUGAUUCAACAGUAUUUUAGAAAUAACAGUGUUAUUGAGGAGGAAACAGAGAUUACAAAUAAUACAGAACAACAAAUCUAGCAGCAGAUCUACAUUGGUUGGCGUUUAUAUCAAUACAUUAAAGACGACUUUUCUUCUAAAUUUUUAUUUUUAGAUUACAAGUUACAAGCAAACAAAUUGAAGCUUUUAAAUGACAACUUCCCUUUGUUCUUAUGUUUAUGUGUAUCAUUGCUGUACGUCGUCUUCAUUGUAUUGACAUACACGACGUCGACUUGAGCAGAUCCAACAGAUUUAGCAGAGCUGAGAUUUUAAAAAACAUCAACCCGAGUAAAAUAAGCACACUAUGAACCCAAGUACGUUGAAGCAUGAGCGGUAAAACAAUCGAACUUGAAGAAAUCUAAGUUUACUUUUAAAUCUCGGCUCAGAUCUGAAAACUAUAGUACUACACAUACAGGGUGUUCCAGAAAACUAUAGUACUACACAUACAGGGUGUCCCAGAAAAAACUGUGCAGUAAGGGUAUUGUUUACUGAGGAAACAAUUUUCGUUCAAUUUUCACAAUCAAGGUGUCAUAAGAAAGCUUUAGGUUUCAGUUAUUUCAUGAUGUAAAUUUUUUCCUUCUAGGCCUCACACUUUUUUGUUACAACCAAUUAUUGGAGCGUAUAUUGAAAAUCGAUUUCCCGGAUUUUUCAAUUUUUCAAAAUUUAAGAUUUUCGAUUUUUUUUAAAUUAUAAGCUUUUAGUCUUAGGUUUCAUUUUUAACUAAAUUUCAGAUCAGCGAUCAUUACUACUGGAGCUAGAGCAAUCUGAAAAUAAAAUAUGCAUUAAAAAAAGAACCAAAAAGAAAGCCGUACGAACCUUGCCCAGACCACAAAAAUAAUUCUUUUUAAAUUUAAUUUUUAAAUCAGUUUGUACAAUCCACAACUCGCUUUUUCAACCAAAAUUUUUUCAUCUAUCCCACCUGGACAAAAAAUAAAACAUUUUUUGUGAAUCUUAAAUAACAAAAAAAUCUUUAAAAAAACAACACUUUAAUUAAGAAUAUUUUUACUUCUCAAAUGAUGGUUAUGCCUGCAUUUAUUAUUAGGUUUAAGAUAUUAGGAAGUUAAAUAGGCCAAAAAUGUUGUGAGUUUUUUAUGGGACCUUCUAAGGGACUUUUCAGUUUCACGCAUAAAAAGAACACAUUCUCAAAUGUAAACUUAUGUCUUAGAGAGCAAAAGGUAUUGUUAGGCAAAAGAAAAUAUCAAAAAUGAUAUUGGUUUAUGAAAAAAGCAGAGGUCAUUAUCCGCCAAUUAGAUUUCUAAGGGGUCAUUUUAGGAGGUCAAAUUUUAUUAUUAGCAUAAACACAUCGUCAUGGGUGUCUAAGUAGGGGUAAAUGCCCUUGGUGAACCCUUGUUCAAUCCUAUUUGUUUCGGAAAUUUGAACCCCGAGUUGACCUUCAAGUUGGGUAAAUUCAUUCUUACUAUUUUUAUGUCACUAACAUAACUGUUGACGGCAGUUUUGACCUUUUUGACCUCAAAGUGGUGAUUUUCGAGGUCAUAAUAACCACUGGCCUAUUUAACUGCCUAAUAUUUUAAAGCUAUCAUAAAAAUGAACAAAUAAGAAAUGCAGGCGUAAAAAUCAUUUCUAAAGUAAAAAAUAUUCUUAAUUAAAGUAUUUUUUUUAAAGAUUUUUUUAAUUUUCGUUUUUUUAUGCAUAUAUUUUCAGACUGCACUAGCUCCAAAAUUAAUGAUUGCUGAUCUGAAAUUUUAGUCAAAAUGAAAACUAAGACUAACACCUAAUGAUUUUGAAAAAAAAUAGAAAAUCUUUAAUUAUUUCAUAUUCUAUGACCGAAUGAAAAUGAGACGUGAAAAAUCGAAAAUUUGAAAAAUCCGGGAAAUCGAUUUUCCACUUUUGCUCAAAUUAUUGGUUGUAAAAAAACAGUAUGAGACCUAGAAGAAAAACUUUUACAUCAUGAAAGAACAGAAAUAUAGAGCUCUGUUAUGACAUCUUUAUUGUAAAAAUUGUUUCGUCAGUAACAAAUACCCCUACUUAUACUGGACACCCUGUAUAAA
rnacentral:lncRNA from 1 species